CAACUACCUGUAAAUGUCACAUAACACCCAAGGAGACUGUGUUACUUAUCUGCUCACCAGUGGGAAGAGAAGAUUGUCUGUCUCAGCUUUGUUAACCAGCUUUCUUGGGAUUUCUCCAUAGGCAAUGGUGGCUUGCUAUCCGGGAAAUGGAACAGGUUAUGUUCGCCACGUGGACAACCCCAACGGUGAUGGUCGCUGCAUCACCUGCAUCUACUAUCUGAACAAGAAUUGGGAUGCCAAGCUACAUGGUGGGAUCCUGCGGAUAUUUCCAGAGGGGAAAUCAUUCAUAGCAGAUGUGGAGCCCAUUUUUGACAGACUCCUGUUCUUCUGGUCAGAUCGUAGGAACCCACACGAAGUGCAGCCUUCUUACGCAACCAGAUAUGCUAUGACUGUCUGGUACUUUGAUGCUGAAGAAAGGGCAGAAGCCAAAAAGAAAUUCAGGAAUUUAACUAGGAAAACUGAAUCUGCCCUCACUGAAGACUGACCGUGCUCUGAAAUCUGCUGGCCUUGUUCAUUUUAGUAACGGUUCCUGAAUUCUCUUAAAUUCUUUGAGAUCCAAAGAUGGCCUCUUCAGUGACAACAAUCUCCCUGCUACUUCUUGCAUCCUUCACAUCCCUGUCUUGUGUGUGGUACUUCAUGUUUUCUUGCCAAGACUGUGUUGAUCUUCAGAUACUCUCUUUGCCAGAUGAAGUUAUUUGCUAACUCCAGAAAUUCCUGCAGACAUCCUACUCGGCCAGCGGUUUACCUGAUAGAUUCGGUAAUACUAUCAAGAGAAGAGCCUAGGAGCACAGCGAGGGAAUGAACCUUACUUGCACUUUAUAUAUACUUCCUGAUUUGAAAGGAGGAGGUUUGAAAAGAAAAAAA
rnacentral:sRNA from 1 species